rnacentral:rRNA from 1 species
UACGGAGGGGGCUAGCGUUGUUCGGAAUUACUGGGCGUAAAGCGCACGUAGGCGGCUUUGUAAGUUAGAGGUGAAAGCCCGGGGCUCAACUCCGGAAUUGCCUUUAAGACUGCAUCGCUAGAAUCGUGGAGAGGUGAGUGGAAUUCCGAGUGUAGAGGUGAAAUUCGUAGAUAUUCGGAAGAAACACCAGUGGCGAAGGCGACUCACUGGACACGU